CACUCCUGCGGGAGGCAGCAGUGGGGAAUUUUGGACAAUGGGCGAAAGCCUGAUCCAGCAAUGCCGCGUGUGUGAAGAAGGCCUUCGGGUUGUAAAGCACUUUUGUCCGGAAAGAAAUCCUUGGCUCUAAUACAGUCGGGGGAUGACGGUACCGGAAGAAUAAGCACCGGCUAACUACGUGCCAGCAGCCGCGGUAAUACGUAGGGUGCGAGCGUUAAUCGGAAUUACUGGGCGUAAAGCGUGCGCAGGCGGUUUGCUAAGACCGAUGUGAAAUCCCCGGGCUCAACCUGGGAACUGCAUUGGUGACUGGCAGGCUAGAGUAUGGCAGAGGGGGGUAGAAUUCCACGUGUAGCAGUGAAAUGCGUAGAGAUGUGGAGGAAUACCGAUGGCGAAGGCAGCCCCCUGGGCCAAUACUGACGCUCAUGCACGAAAGCGUGGGGAGCAAACAGGAUUAGAAACCCUAGUAGUCC
rnacentral:rRNA from 1 species